GUCCUAUGGAGGAGGCAGCAGAGACUCUGCUCUCCUCGUUUGGAUUAAUUCUGAUAUAAUAACUGUUGGUUUAUUUAUCGGUGCAGCAGCAGAACAUUUUCCACAGACAGUUUUCCUGCCCGUUGGCUUGUUUUAACCAGUUUUCUACCUUCAGCUGAUUCUACCAGCAGACACUGAAAGGACUCUGAUAGUUCGAGUGAAAGCAGCAGUUCCUCCUUAAGGUCAGAGGUUGCAGCAUCUGAGGGCCUCUUCAAAAGAAGAUGUAGUUGAUGAAGGCGUUCUGGAGCAGGACCAGAAAGACCACGACCAAGCAGCCUUGAGAUCUUAGACAGCGUCUCCCUCAGACCAAAGAACUACAGACUCUUCACAACCUGCUCAAACUCUUGGUACAGGACCUCACCACACGGGUCAAGAAGGUUUCUGUCUCAUUUCUACUCUGAAGCUCACCUUCUCCUGCUCAAACUGCUGACAAAUGUUUCUGCUGC
ensembl:lncRNA